rnacentral:tRNA from 1 species
GCGCGCGCAGCUCGAUGGUCCGAGCAUCCGCCUGAUACGCGGGAGGUUGAAGGUUCGAGUCCUUCCGCGCGCACCA